rnacentral:rRNA from 1 species
CGCAUCUGUGCAUGCAGCAUAUCAAUAAGCGGAGGAAAAGAAACUAACAAGGAUUCCCUUAGUAACGGCGAGUGAAGCGGGAAGAGCUCAAAUUUGAAAUCUUCAAGGUUUUACCUUGACGAAUUGUAGUUUAAAGAAGUGUUUUCUGCUGAAGUUUUGGUAAAAGUUCUUUGGAAUAGGACAUCAUAGAGGGUGAGAAUCCCGUAUUUGACCAUUAUUUUCAGCUUUGUGAUACACUUUCAAAGAGUCGGAUUGUUUGGGAAUGCAGUCCAAAAUGGGUGGUAAAUUUCAUCUAAAGCUAAAUAUUGGCGAGAGACCGAUAGCGAACAAGUACCGUGAGGGAAAGAUGAAAAGAACUUUGAAAAGAGAGUUAAACAGUACGUGAAAUUGUCAAAAGGGAAAGCGUUUGACACCAGUGUUGUUUUCUCGAAAAUCAAUUAAAAAUGGCUCGAUUUUGUAUUGCUGAGACCUUAAAAGCUCACUGUACAUUUUUCGUGUCUUUUUUAAUGCACUUUUCGUUUAACAAGUCAACAUCAGUUUCUUUUGUUGUAAAAAGGGUCAUUGGAAGGUGGCUUUCUUUUCGGAGAAAGUGUUUAUAGCCUUUGACUCCUGCAAUCGGAGAGACUGAGGUCUGCAGCGUAGACUCUUCGGGGUUAGAUACAUUUGUGCUAAGUUAUAGCUUUUUAUAGACAACUUGUUGACUAUAAUUAGUCUUGUAGCUUACUCGCUUAUGCUAUUUUACCUACGCUUAGGAUGUUGAAGAUAUGCGCGACACG